GACGAACGCUGGCAGCGUGCCUAAUACAUGCAAGUCGAACGCAUUUUCUUUCACCGUAGCUUGCUACACCGAAAGAAAAUGAGUGGCGAACGGGUGAGUAACACGUGGGUAACCUGCCCAUCAGCGGGGGAUAACACUUGGAAACAGGUGCUAAUACCGCAUAAUUCCAUUUACCGCAUGGUAAAUGGAUGAAAGGCGCUUUUGCGUCACUGAUGGAUGGACCCGCGGUGCAUUAGCUAGUUGGUGGGGUAACGGCCUACCAAGGCUGCGAUGCAUAGCCGACCUGAGAGGGUGAUCGGCCACACUGGGACUGAGACACGGCCCAGACUCCUACGGGAGGCAGCAGUAGGGAAUCUUCGGCAAUGGACGCAAGUCUGACCGAGCAACGCCGCGUGAGUGAAGAAGGGUUUCGGAUCGUAAAACUCUGUUGUUAGAGAAGAACAAGGAUGAGAGUGGAAAGUUCAUCCCUUGACGGUAUCUAACCAGAAAGCCACGGCUAACUACGUG
rnacentral:rRNA from 1 species